rnacentral:lncRNA from 11 species
GAAUAUAGAGUUCUGCAUCUCUCUCUCUCUGCAUGUUUUUUAAAACUUCGGGUACCUUUUUUGUUUGCAGAUGGAGUCACAGCAAAUACUAUAUAUGGUGCGGAUCACAUCUGAACAAGAUGCUGCUUUCCUGGUCAGAAUCUUCUUCUUCUUUAGAUCCUGUUUAAGUGUUAUCCCUCCACAGAAAAGACAUCAUACAACUAGAAGUCUGCAGUAUUUCGUUUUUUGAAGUAACCUUGAACUCUUAAUUCUAGUCUUACUCAACAACCCCCUCUACUGGUCUAGCCUUUUAUGUAUUAACUAUUCAGACAGUCAUGCCCUGUUUGUAGACAACUAGGGAACAGUAAUCCUUGCCAGGUGUGGUUUUAGCACUUUUGAGAGAUGCUGUAAAUGGUCAGAGAGCAUAAAAUGAUAUUUUUACUUCACAUUAAGUGACCUUGGACUUGUGACAACCCCUCCGAAAUAGAGACCUCCAGGGGCCCUGAUCAUCUCCUCUCCUGCCUAUAUCUAACACACAGGACUGUUGCUUCCUUUAUUGAAUACAUCCAUCUAUAAAGUGGUUUAACUGUUUUCCUUGUAAAAAAUAUAUUAGGAGAUAACAUAAAUUGUGUAAAUGUUGGUACACUCAGAGCUCAACAGGUAUAAUAAUACAGUCCAUGGACCUUACUGGGCUUGCCCUGCCGGUGGGAACAUUCAAUUCCUGGUACAGGAAGCAGGGCCUGCUUAAUAAGAUAUUCAAAAGUAUAGUACAGUGGUCCUCAAACUUCUCAGGUCUAUGUCAAGACGCUGCAGCCAGAGCUUAGCAAGAGUAGUCAAGGCAAUCUACAGUUGAUGCAGAGAUAGCACUUAAUAGAGGUUCAAUCCUAAGAGAAUUCCAAAAUCCGGCCCAACGGUCACGUACACACAAGGCUCAUCAGCUUGUCUAAAGUCCAGGGUCAUUCACAAAGGCGGUUCAAAUAAAGUAGUGGGCAUAAGGAGUAUUUUGAGAGUUCGGUCCGAAGGUCAAACACAGAAGCAGCUCACCAAUUUCUCUGACAUGAAAUAUAAGGUCCAAGGGUCAAAGUCACCAGCUGAAACAUCCAACAUAAUUUUUGCUUUCAGCAAGGUACUGUUGCCAAUGCCCAUCUUUUAUGCCGC